rnacentral:lncRNA from 1 species
CAAGGAAGUUGACAUGUCAUCACUUCAUUUUUUUGCGCCUGCGCAUAAAUCUGAGAAACGUGAGUUUGUCAUCAUUUUUUAUCUAGACAUAGGAUAGGUUGUGUGAAAAUAUUACUGAUGUUUAACGUUAAAAAUGGACCAAAAGAUUAAUGCUAAACAACAUUUGACAUGUUUGAACGAACAUAAAUAGAUUAUUUACUAGGUUUUUUUAGCUUUUCGGCGUGAUUUUACCAGCCCCCCAACCACGUUUUGUGGGAGCAUAAUGAACGCUAAGUACUUGGUGUUAUUUGGACAUAAAUUAUGAACUUUGUCAAAAGAAACCACAUUUGUUCCGGACCUGGAAUGCCUUCCGGACCUGGGAUCCUGCCUUCUGAUGGAGAUAAUCAAAGUCCGGCUGGCUUACAUCAUGUGCUAACGAGACGGAGAUUUUUGGACAUAAAUGAUG